AAUCAGCACCUCGGUGAAUAGCAGCCAGCUAAACCCAAACCCAGACAAGCAUGAGGAGAUGCUAGUAGGAAAAGAUACCCAGCAUGAGUUCAAAAACCAAGUACCAGAGCUGGAACAAGGACAGCAAAGAAGCAGCACAACCAGAACCUACCACAGCAGGAGGAAGCAAAAUAUCAGAUAAUAAUUGAAGAUGCAGUAAAGAUCAUCAUUUGCAGUGUCCACUGAGAAUCCUGUUAACUGAAUGUAUCCUUUUUUUCCUCCUUCAUAAAUGUAAAUUAUCAUUCCCUUCUCCAUUUAAAACACACUUUGACUGUGCUAAUGUUCCCAGGUAAAAAGCAAGGUCCUGGGUUUAUUCUUAUUUGGAUUAGCAGGGUGCAAAAUUUACUAUGAUUAUGGAAAUGUUUUGCAUGAAUAAAGACUACUGGAAAAAUGAUGGUUAGAUAUAAUGUUAUAAAAAUAUACUCUUGCUUUCAUUGUAAUCCCUGUGACCCCCAAUGCUACGAGU